GAUGAACGCUAGCGGCAGGCUUAAUACAUGCAAGUCGUGGGGCAGCAGGGGUAGCAAUACCCGCUGGCGACCGGCAAACGGGUGCGUAACACGUACGCAACUUUCCUUUAAGCGGGGGAUAGCCCAGAGAAAUUUGGAUUAAUACCCCAUAUGAUAUUAGAAUGGCAUCAUUUAGAUAUUAAAGCUCCGGCACUUAAAGAUGGGCGUGCGGUUGAUUAGGUAGUUGGCGGGGAAUGGCCCACCAAGCCUUCGAUCAAUAGCUGAUGUGAGAGCAUGAUCAGCCACACGGGCACUGAGACACGGGCCCGACUCCUACGGGAGGCAGCAGUGGGGAAUAUUGGACAAUGGGCGCAAGCCUGA
rnacentral:rRNA from 1 species